rnacentral:lncRNA from 1 species
UGCGGGUUUAGCAGCCCUUGUCUCCUUCACCCAAGGGUUAUUGAAAUUCCUCAGCUUGUUUUUCCCCGGAAACAUUCAGCCAUUUAGAUUCAGACGGCGUGACUGCACGCUGGGAGCGCGCCGUUAGACGCCCGAAGAGCAUCAGCAUCAGCAGCAGCAGCGCACGAGCGGCUGGAGGACGCUCAUGCCCCGCCGGUGCAUCGAGGUUUUCAACAGACGGGAGGUCCUGACACAAAAGGUCAUCAACUGGACUGUCCUGCACACACGUGGCAUCAAACAAAAGCGGUAAAAAGGAGUUGUUGGUGUGCGCAGGUGAAUCACAUGGACAUGGGCCGGGUCGACAGCUGGUGUAAAGUGGGCUCUGCAGGCGUCCUUCCCUCGGAUUACAUUUUAAUGGAUUAAAACUAAACAGCAAUCAAUAAAGCGG